rnacentral:rRNA from 1 species
GAUCAUUAACGAGUUWUGAAGUGGGUCUGAUGCUGGCCUUCCCAGGCAUGUGCUCGUCCUACUCUUCAUCCACUCACACCUGUGCACCUAUAAACGUUGGAAGAUUCAUCCCCUAGACUCUUAGGGGUGCUGUUGAAGGAAACUUUGGCAGUUGGGUUGUAUCUUUUGCGUUUACCUUUAUAUAAACUCUUGAAUGUCAUAGAAUGUCUAAUGGCCUACGGGCUUGAAAUUAAAUACAACUUUCAACAACGGAUCUCUUGGCUCUCGCAUCGAUGAAGAACGCAGCGAAAUGCGAUAAGUAAUGUGAAUUGCAGAAUUCAGUGAAUCAUCGAAUCUUUGAACGCACCUUGCGCUCCUGGGCCAUUCCUAGGAGCAUGCCUGUUUGAGUGUCGUGAACACAUCAACCCCAGUCAGGUUUGAAAUCUGACUGGUGGCUGGAUUUGGGAGUUGCCGGCUGUUUUGAUUCAGUCGGCUCUCCUUGAAUGUAUUAGCUUGGACUGUUUCCAAAUGCUUCAUAGCGUGAUAAUUAUCUACGCUUUGGACGGGUUUGGAAUACUAUCGGUCUGGCUUCUAAUCGUCCUCUGGACAAUGUAUUCAUUCUUUGACCUCAAAUCAGGUAGG